CCUACGGGAGGCAGCAGUGGGGAAUUGUUCGCAAUGGGCGCAAGCCUGACGACGCAACGCCGCGUGGAGGAUGAAGGUCUUCGGAUUGUAAACUCCUGUUGCCCGGGACGAAAAGCUUCGACCUAACACGUCGAAGUCUGACGGUACCGGGUGAGGAAGCCCCGGCUAACUCUGUGCCAGCAGCCGCGGUAAU
rnacentral:rRNA from 1 species